CCUACGGGGGGCAGCAGUGGGGGAUAUUGCACAAUGGGGGGAACCCUGAUGCAGCGACGCCGCGUGGGUGAAGAAGCGCCUCGGCGCGUAAAGCCCUGUCAGCAGGGAAGAAAAUGACGGUACCUGAAGAAGAAGCCCCGGCUACUACGUGCCAGCAGCCGCGGUAAUACGUAGGGAGCAAGCGUUGUCCGGAAUUACUGGGUGUAAAGGGAGCGUAGGCAGGGAUGCAAGUUGGGUGUCAAAACUACCGGCUCAACCGAUAGUCGCACUCAAAACUGCAGCUCUUGAGUGAAGUAGAGGCAGGCGGAAUUCCUAGUGUAGCGGUGAAAUGCGUAGAUAUUAGGAGGAACACCGAUUGCGAAGGCAGCCUACUAAACUGCCACUGACAUUGAUGCUCGAAAGUGUGGGUAUCAAACAGGAUUAGAUACCCUGGUAGUC
rnacentral:rRNA from 1 species